CACUUAAAAUCUGAUCAGCUGAAAUUGAACACUGACACGAACUUUGUUCGUGAGUCUCUCAAAUUUUCGCAACACGAUGAUGAAUCGAAAGAAACAUCUUCGG
rnacentral:sRNA from 1 species